UAUUAUAGUCGAAGAGUGUUAUCUUAGCAAACACUAUUAUUAGUUUUUCUUAAUAUUUAGUAUUUCUACUGAUUUAUUUUUUAUUUCAGCUUUAGGCUUAGUAAUUUUAGUACUUUAACUUAUUUAUUUUUUUAUUAGUUGACAAUGCAACAUUUCUAAAUUUUGUUCAAGUCAAGUUUUUUUUUUUUCUUUUAAUUAUUUUAUUUUAAAUUAAUAGUUAAUAACAAUACUGAUUCGGACUGAUGAACAAAUUACUCAUUUGAGCUGGAAAUACUAUUGCUUAACUGAAUGAACUGAUGUGACUGAUGAAAGUAUGGAUUUAUAUUAAGUAAAGACACUUUGUUUAAUUAAGAUUAAUCAAAUUAAGUAUCAAAAUCAGAUCAUUACAUAGCUAAAUUUAAUAAUUAUAAAACAUUAAAAAACACCAAAAACAGAAUUCUGCAAGAUAUGCAGAUGAAUGCUGGAUCUUACAGCUGAACGAGUAAAUAAAAAUCAAAUCAACAAAUAUAAAAGCUAAAUGUAAUUAUGCUCAAAUUCUAUUAUCAGUAAGAGCAGAUGGAAACCAGAAGUAGGAGGUCUUGUUGGACCCUCUGACCUCAAAUUCCCUCCCAUCUCCCAUCUCUCUCCCUCUUGUUUUGUCUCUCAGAGUGAUCUCUACUAACUUAUAAACAUCUUCAGAUCUACAUAGCUGAGUGCAACAUAUUGCUUCCUAAACACAUUCAUGACAUUGAAACUUCCCUGUGUCUGUGUGAGAAUCGGCGUAGGUAUUUAAAGCAGCUGUAAUCCCGGUCAAAUUCCCUCCCAUCUCCCAUCUCUCUCCCUCUUGUUUUGUCUCUCAGAGUGAUCUCUCAACUUAUAAACAUCUUCAGAUCUACAUAGCUGAGUGCAACAUAUUGCUUCCUAAACACAUUCAUGACAUUGAAACUUCCCUGUGUCUGUGUGAGAAAUCGGCGUAGGUAUUUAAAGCAGCUGUAAUCCGGACCCCGCUGGUUCAAGUCAACAGCCUGUGAACCCGCUGCCCCCAUACCCCAAAAACUAUGUCCGCUUCACACACACAUUUGCCCUGCGACUUAUUUUUUAUUUAUUUCACACAGGUUAAAUUUAGCCCCCUGUAGCCAGGCCGGGAACAGUCUCACACACAUAAAACACACAACUGUUCUCCCACACAAGGCAUACAGUAGUGAGAAAAGCAGCUGAGUGAUUGACUGUACUGUAAACAUGUGCUAGUGUUACUAAUUUAUUUAUCUACGCCAGUCUCAUAUAUCAUAGAUGGAGGGGGGGGUUAUCAGUUU
rnacentral:lncRNA from 1 species